UUGGGAAAAAUAUAUUACAUGACAUCAUGAAUAAUUUUAUAUAACAUGAUAAUGAGGAUGAGGUAAAUUCGAUGCAACAAUCAAAAUUGCGGAAGAUAAAAGAACCUUAUUUUUUAUUACGAAAUGCAUUAGUUGAUCAUUUGAGAGAAAAAUAUUAUAAUGACAUUAUUGAACCAACUUAUAUAUUGUCUUCUAUUUUAUUUUUAUGAUUUCUUGUACUUUUUAAUAAUAAAUAUUUAAUUUAAAUAAAUUAUAUUUUAAAGAAGUUUUGUAAACAUAAAAUAGUUGAGACUGAUUGAUAAAUUUUCAUAUGCAUAAGAUAUUAUUAACAAUUAUUAAUAAAAUAUAUUAUUUUUAGAAUAGAAAAUAAAUAAUACAUUAAAGUAAAACUUUACUCAAUUUUGGUACUGCACUAUCUAUAUAUAUAAAGAAGGGUUGGUUCCCUCCUGCUGACACAUCAGCAUCCACCUAAGAAAUUCGAGCUCUCUCAUGCCGCCACGUGUCAGGUUCCUUGAAGCGCAUCGUUUCAUUUAAAGAGUUUCGUUCGUGGGCCUUUGAUCAUAUUAUGUUAUGUUUGUUUAUAUUGUUGGGCUUUUAAAUUAAUAUUAGGCUGACGGCCUAGGCAGACGUACUCCUCGCGAAACCUAAUCUGUAUACGCCAAAACAUGUUCAUCUUCGUUUCACUCUGCGGCGGUGGUGACGAUCGAGUUCCUCGAUCUCUCUAAACGGAUGGCGUUAUGGAUUACGUGUUACAAAGUAAUCCACUUAAAACCCUCUAUUAAAUCACCCACGAUUUCUAAUCAGUGCGAGUCCUAAUCUUUCAAGGCAGUGGUGAUUGACUAUAAAAAGGUGAGUUUUCCUACUUUGAAAAUCAUCCUUUGAUUUGUUCUAAACUAACCAGUAAAGCUAAUAUUGUAAGCUAUGUCUAACGUUUCAUCUUCUUCUCCGAUUUGCAGACGACUGCUCCUCCUUCACUGUUCAGAUCCGGAUGCUCCGUUUCUAGAAGGCGCCGUGGUGUUGCCCGCAAGCUCCACCGCUUCGUUCAUUGCUCACUAAUACAUUGAAAAUUAUACUGGUCACGGCUGAUUUAGAUGUCAGAAAAACCAACGUGAGAAAUGUAAGAAGCUUUCCAUCUGCUCAAAUACUACUUAAUUUUAAAUUAAACUAAGCUCCUACAACCUACUAAUUCAUGCUCUUUCUAUGUCAGAUGAAGAAGAAGGCUAAGGCUCUUAAAGGUCUUUCUAAAAACUUCAACAUAUUCUCAAGAAAGUCUCGGGAGCAACAUAGAUUCUGGUUAAGAGAUUGGGUCAGUUGAAUGCAAAAAGAAGAAGCUAUUGUAGAACAGAGGAUUGGGUCAGUUGAAUGCAAAGAAGAAGCUAUUGUAGAAACAGAGGAAAUAAGAAAAUCCAAAAGCUAAAGCCAUGAAGAUUAUGGCUGAAAUAGAAUCUUAAUCAAAUGACAGUGAUUGUGGCAUAGGAAAAGUUCUUGACAUGUGCUCUUUUGGAAAUAAGGCUACACUGAUUCUGGAGUUGUUACAGCCAUAAUCUGGAGUAGAAACCCUUUGCAUUUCCUUUUGUUUUUGUAACAACCUUUGCAUUUCCAAUAUUAGAUCAUCUCAACAACAUGAUUUGUUUGAUGUUUUAGUUACCAAAACCUGCAAAUUGUAAUGGGUCUUUCUUUGUUAUGACCAGGAAUGAAGAAAAUCAUCUCUGUGACCAAAGU